rnacentral:lncRNA from 1 species
GCCAUGAGGGCGGGAACCCUCGUACGCGGAAGUUCAUGAGGGCGGGACCCUCGUACGCGGAAGGUCAUGAGGGCGGGACCCUCGUACGCGGAAGUUCAUGCGGGCGGGACCCUCGUACGUGGAAGGUCAUGAGGGCGGGACCCUCGUACGUGGAAGGUCAUGAGGGCGGAACCCUGGUACAUGAAAUUCGUUCUCUUAUUUAAGAGACAAAGAACGCCCUUGUUUUUUCCACCACGUGAUGGCGCAGACAGAAGACAACCAGCAUCUAUGAACCAGGAAGCCCCCACCAGGCACUGAAUCUGCCCCUGCGUGGAUCUUAGACUUGCAGACUCCAGAACUAACCUUACAAUGUCUCUUCUCCAUUAAGAAAACCUACUUCAACAUCUCCAUUGGUUCUCAACAUAGAGGUCCAAAUUUUGGUCUGGAGCCAGAGACAAUAUAGGAUGAAGUUUGAUUUGUUCCAAAACCCACAGAAAUCUCUAAAAUGGAAGAAUUUUCUUAGAACCAAAAGGCAUGGAAUUGAUGACAUGAAACUGCGAUUUUCCAUGAAAUGCACACCAUGCUACUUCUUCCAUAUCUACAAGGUAUGCAUGGGCUGCCCACUCACAAAAAUAAAGCCAAGUCAGGUCCCGAGAAGGGCUGGCAUUUUCAUGUAAAUGGCAAGUUGUACAUCAAUGUCAGAUUAGCUGCGAGGUUGUUGCAACACUGAAACCUGACCUGACCGGCUGACAAGGCAGGAUUUCCACAGAGGGGACGAUAUUUCUGAAGCAUCUGUAUCUCUGAGCUUUUGAUGUAUGAGUUGAUCUUUCCCCAAUAGCUAGCGAGAAAAGCACUCUUGUUAGUAUUUAAAAAUAAUAAAAAAUGAAUCCUU